ACGUAGAAAAGGCAAACCCAUAGAAAUGUGGGGGCGCAAAGCCAUGGGCCUGUAGGGGGUUGUCCCCCAUGGUUGCCAGGUUGCCGUC
rnacentral:ncRNA from 2 species